CACUCUGCACAGUGGUAGUAUCAUAGCCAAUUAGGUUUAUCUAAGACACAAUUAUUGCUAAUAGAAAUCUUUUCACAAUAUCCUGCCAUGAUGACUUGAAAUAUAGUCAUAUAGUCGGUAUUGGCAAUUUUUGACAGUAUCUAUGGAGA
rnacentral:snRNA from 1 species